GGGAGUCUACAUCAGUCUGCCAGGAGAGCAGCUCAAUGGGAAGGAGGUUUAUCCAGACCAAGUUAAAGGCAGAGAGCUUCCAGAAGAGAAUGAUGGAGAAUCCAUCAGGAUACAAGAUCAUGGAGAUGCUUCUAUUUCUUUAAAGACUGAAGACACUGAGGAGGAUGAAGAACACAGUAAUGUAGAACACCCUCUCUCUGAGCUGAAACACUUGUCAGACUCUGGAUAUAGGAAAAGUUCUACAGAGAAGAAAAAUGUGGAGUCAUGUAGGAAAGACUGCAGAGCAGUGAAGCUUAGCUGCAAAGACUGUGGCAAAACAUUUGUUGGAAAAUACACUUUAAAGACACACAUGAGAACUCAUACAGGACAGAAGCCUUUCUGUUGUGUUCUAUGUGAAAAAAGAUUUAG